UCGAAGUAGGUUUACCUCGCACGAAGGCGAGUUUACAAUCACACUACUGCUUACAAACUUUUAGUCCACAGGAUAAUUAAAAAUUAUUACAAACUGUUUUGAAACUUAAAGUAACUUAUACAGGCAUUGUUUUUAAAACAACAAGCUAAACAGCUUGUCCAAAGUCAUAGCAGAAGCAAAGUUAUUAACAUCGCGACUACACGUCGCAAGGUUUGACACCACGCUCAACCCGAAACCUGGCGUCAUUCCGGAGGGUCACUGCCAGCCGGGGACGGAUCCCACUCCACGGACCAGCCAAACCGAACAGAGAACGGCCAGGCUAGAUUAUCUGUUUGGUUUUCACCGGCCAUACCUGAAAAAUAGACUAGCAAGACUGAGUGUGCUAAUACUCAGCAAGACUUACCCGUGUCAUGGUAUACUUAGCCAUGUAACUAUGGUUCUGGGUUUAAUUUCAGCUGAAAAGCCAAGAGGUGAUCACCGUGAUGUCAUUGAUGCAAAACAUCGAGCAAGUUGUAGGCGUCCAAGGGACGGCGUGGCUGAGGGGCUCCCCUAAGGGCUCGACGGCGACGAAGGCACGGCAGCGAGCAUGCGGGUUCAGGGCCUUCCUAGACCAUGGCAGUGGUGCACCUUCGAUUCAUGGGCUAGGCUCGACUGCUCACGGCCGGCAGUACAGACAAGAAAAGGCGGGGGCUUUGGAACCUAGGCUCACUGUCUGGCUCGAUCGAAGGCAAGGCAAGGCAAGGCUGUGGCUUGGUCAGGAUCACAGCGCGCUCGCGUUUAGCGGUGACUCGCUACGGCCAGCUUCACGUGACGUGCAGCCACGUGCCGUGCCACGGCAGUGUGCUCAUGCUCCUACAGCAGAUGGCCACAGCGCGAAGGCUAACAAACAAGCAAGAAUAAGGAGGCAGCUUUGGUUCUGGGCGGCAAGCAGACUGGAGGAAGUGAGAGCAGGAAGUGGCGAUCGGGUGUGUGUUCGUCUUCAUGCGGAACAGGCGUGGGUGUGUGCGUGGCGAGGGCGCCCAUGAGAUGCUCGGCAAAUUGCCGUAGUGGCACCCGCCAGUGCGGCGCCAUGACGUCGUGGCGUGUGCGCGCUCGCCAUGGCCGCAACGUGGCCAUGGCGCUCCGGUGGCGAGGCUAGGUUGGUGGUGCAACCAAAAGGCUCGGCCUUUUGGUCGGGUUCAGCGAGAGCGCGUGCCCGCGGUGCCCUGGCACUCCAGGUCUACGGCGCUUGGCGGCGAGGCAGCAUCGGGCGGCGGUCACAUCGGUAUCGCGAGGCGAAGGCUGCUGGGCAAGUUCGGUAGCAUUCUGGGGUGCGUGCGUGGGGCCGUGGCGAAGCCACGGCCAUGGCACGCACGCGAGCUCUGGCAUCCAGGUUCACGGCGGCCGAUGGCUGCGAUGGCGAAGGGCUCCUGCACGAAACGCGGCACGACGGCCGGGCAAAGGUUGUAGGGUUUCUAGGGACUUUGGAGUUCCUACGGACGGUUCAUCGGCCAUGGCCGGUAGCAGUGGGGUAGCGGGUCCGAGCAAGGUGGUGGCGCUCACCGGUUGGGCUCAGGUCGUGCAAACGAAGCAGGGAGACGGCGCAGCUAUGACGGCUCGAGGUGGCGCUAGCUCGUGGUGGCUCCGUGCGGCACGGUGUCGUCAGCGGCGUAGCUCCUGACAGCAGCUCCUUCGUGUCCUCCUCCUUGCUCCGCUCGACGCCGGCGUGGUGCAGCUCUCCCGGCUUGGUCGUAGCCAUCGGUGUCGUUCCUCUGGCUCCUCUUCCUCCUCUGGCUCU
rnacentral:lncRNA from 1 species